UACGGGGGGAGCAAGCGUUGUUCGGAUUUACUGGGCGUAAAGGGCGCGUAGGCGGCCACCGCAAGUCGGUUGUGAAAUCUCCGGGCUUAACCCGGAAAGGCCAAUCGAUACUGCGGGGCUAGAGUGCAGAAGGGGCAACUGGAAUUCUCGGUGUAGCGGUGAAAUGCGUAGAUAUCGAGAGGAACACCUGCGGCGAAGGCGGGUUGCUGGGCUGACACUGACGCUGAAGCGCGAAAGCUAGGGGAGCGAACGGG
rnacentral:rRNA from 1 species